rnacentral:rRNA from 1 species
AUUGAACGCUGGCGGCAUGCCUUACAUAUGCAAGUCGAACGGUAACGGGCCUUCGGGUGCCGACGAGUGGCGAACGGGUGAGUAAUACAUCGGAACGUGCCCGAUCGUGGGGGAUAACGAGGCGAAAGCUUUGCUAAUACCGCAUACGAUCUACGGAUGAAAGCAGGGGACCGCAAGGCCUUGCGCGGACGGAGCGGCCGAUGGCAGAUUAGGUAGUUGGUGGGAUAAAAGCUUACCAAGCCGACGAUCUGUAGCUGGUCUGAGAGGAUGAUCAGCCACACUGGGACUGAGACACGGCCCAGACUCCUACGGGAGGCAGCAGUGGGGAAUUUUGGACAAUGGGCGCAAGCCUGAUCCAGCCAUGCCGCGUGCAGGAUGAAGGCCUUCGGGUUGUAAACUGCUUUUGUACGGAACGAAAAGCCUUCUUUUAAUACAGGAGGGUCAUGACGGUACCGUAAGAAUAAGCACCGGCUAACUACGUG